rnacentral:rRNA from 1 species
AGCAGCCGCGGUAAUUCCAGCUCCAAUAGCGUAUAUUAAAGUUGUUGCAGUUAAAAAGCUCGUAGUUGAAUUUCGGGAUCAAAUUGUCGGUCGUGCCUCGGUACGUACUGGCGUUAUUGGUUCCUCCCUUCUGAAGAACCGCGAUGUCAUUAAUUUGGUGUCGCGGGGAAUCAGGACUGUUACUUUGAAAAAAUUAGAGUGUUUAAAGCAGGCUCGCGCUUGAAUACAUUAGCAUGGAAUAAUGAAAUAGGACGUUUGAUUCUAUUUUGUUGGUUUCUAGGAUCGACGUAAUGAUUAAUAGGGAUAGUUGGGGGGCAUUAGUAUUCAAUUGUCAGAGGUGAAAUUCUUGGAUUUAUUGAAGACUAACUACUGCGAAAGCAUUUGCCAAGGAUGUUUUCAUUAAUCAAGAACGAAAGUUAGGGGAUCGAAGGCGAUCAGAUACCGUCGUAGUCUUAACCAUAAACUAUGCCGACUAGGGAUCGGAUGAUGUUAAUUUUUUAAUGACUCAUUCGGCGCCUUA